GCGGGAGGGGGAAUGACUCCCCCUUGACCUCUCCCUCCCGGAGCCCGGACCAAAAUAACCGGUCAGGAGGGGGACGCCUCGAAGGGACUCGAGAAUCUCGGAGGGCUGCCAGGAUGAAGAGGCUCUAUCUAAACGACCGGGGCCGGGGAAAGGCCUGUCUGCCGCUUCCGUGUGUUGAGGAGGGAUCCAAGAGCCAGGGGAUUGUCGGGGGCGGCUCCGAAGGUUAGGAUCCCUGCGAGGAUUGCCACGCGCGGGUAUCGUAGUCCGCUUUGUGAACUUCGUUCAUACGAAAAGUUCAACACGACACAGACUAGAAGUCUUGCUUAGGAAUGUCUAACGAAUUACUUUUACUGACAAGAAUAAAACUUAAAGAAAAACGCAAAAAAUGUCAGCCCUAGCCAUGCGCCA